rnacentral:lncRNA from 1 species
AAGGAGCUUGUCCUAGUUCCCACAGCUACUAAGGGAUGGACCUGGGUGGCCAGCUGAGCCAAUGGGCCUUGGAAAUUCUAAAGUCAAAUGCCUCCAGGGGCCAGGCAGUUUACCAUGGUUUGCCAGAGGCCACAUGGUGGAGCAGGACCCUGGGAGCACCUAUCCCACAGCAGAGAAGCCCCGCAGAUGCCAAGAGACAGC